rnacentral:lncRNA from 1 species
UUUUUUGUUUUUUUUUAAAUAACGUACUUCAUUAACCCCUGAUCAAGACUCAAAGCAGCAUCAUUGCCGAACCCAUAAGGCAGCUACCAAUUGAUUUUCGGGGGAAGGCUGUUAUUAUUGUUGAGUAUAAAACAUAAAGGCAAGGGGGUGGGGUGGUGAGCUAUGGAUUUUGUUUUGGAAACAAAAAAUGUUUCCAGUUUUUUGGCCCUGAAAAAAAAUUGUUUGUUUCACCCUCAGCUGCCACUAUUUAUAAUGCUAAAAUUGAUUUUGACUUGUCACCAAAAUUUGUCCUGAAAAAAAUCAAUAGCUCACGUCCCCCGUCCUCCGCUCCCCCUCCCCUCCACAAAAAAUGAAGUAAAUAGUUGCUGGCUUAUUCAUUUGAAAAGGUCUUCCCGAAUCAACUUGACGUACACAGAAAUAUUCGCCACUGGUCUUUACUCAAACAACGAUUCACGCAUAAAUGCAUGACUAAAAAAAGUGUGAGGUAAAUGAUAUGUUUGUCUAGUAUAUCAGAUCCGUUAAAUAACACUUAAAAUAAAUAAAAAAAACGUUACCCUAUUCCUUUACUAAAUACUCCUUGGAGAAGAAAUACCAUUUGAAACGAACAGAAAAGAUAAAAAUGUAGUGAUCCCUAAUAUCUCAAUCCUUUUUUUCGGCUGUAAGCACGCUGCUGCAGCUAACGUUUUCUAAUGCGUAAUCGAGACAUCUCUAGUAUAUUCAAACUACUACAAAUUAUAAAAAUGGCUUUUAUAAAGUAGCAACCACUUAACUUAAAAAAAGGGGGAGGGUUAUUUUUUUUUAUCUGAGUCAGAUUUUUUUUCGCGCGUACGUUUUUAUUCCUUUUUUUCGAUGCUGGUGAUCAAAUUCUUUUUUUUUCAAUAUUUAACACUAUAAUGUAUGGGGGAACUCUUGAUUCAGAAUAAUUUUUUUAUCAUCUGUAUGACCAUUUUUAUUUUAUCAAAUUGGGGAUCGGAAUAUUUCCAUUCCACCCCCCCCCCCCCAAUCCCCACCCCCAUUUUGAAGUCAAAUGGUUGUUCCCUUAUCGCUAGAAAAAUUGUCCAAAUAUUUUGAAUUUAGUUCUACGUAAUGAACAUUUAAAUGAC